UACGUAGGGAGCAAGCGUUGUCCGGAAUCAUUGGGCGUAAAGCGCGUGUAGGCGGCUUGGUAAGUCUGCUCUGAAAGCCCGGGGCUCAACCCCGGGAGGCGGGUGGAUACUGCCGAGCUCGAGUCCGGAAGAGGCGAGUGGAAUUCCUGGUGUAGCGGUGAAAUGCGCAGAUAUCAGGAGGAACACCGGUGGCGAAGGCGGAUCUCUGGGCUUACCUGACGCUGAGGCGCGAAAGCUAGGGGAGCGAACAGG
rnacentral:rRNA from 1 species